CUCUAAUGGAAAUUCCCAAAACCCGAGGUGCGGGAGGCGAGGGGUGGUGAGUCGCAAGGAGGGCAGCUCCAAAGGGAUUCUGCCAGGCGGGAGAAACGCAGCGGUCCCAUUUGGAGAACCAAAUGGAAGAAGUCCAGCGAAGGCCAGGAAGCUGAAGGGCAGAAGAGGCUGCAGAAGACUCGGAGGACCAAGGCUGCAGACCGUGGGGUUCAUCUCUCCUGACAUGCUGGCGUGGGUCUCCGUCGCGCUCCUGGCCCUUUCCCCCCUCUGUUGGACUCCCCCCUCUGUGGUGGGACGCUCCCUUUCAGGGACACCCGCCCAGGAGAUGCUCGGGGACCCCAGAGCCAACUGGACCACAGCUCUGCCCCAGUUGGCCUCGCCUCUGGUUUCCACAGCCGGGGCCAGAGAAGAAAAGGAUCCGGGCCCCACGGAGCCCCCCAAAAUCUCAACAACUCUUGCCAGGGCUCAAGAGGCUCCAGAGGGGCCACUCCCGUCCACCAGCAGCUCCACCACUGAGACCCCAAGGGACAACAAAGCUCCGAAAAAGCCCGUCCAGGUGAAAAUAGUCAAGAAAAAGAUUUUGAAGAAAAAGACCAAAAAGCUGCUAAAUCCGGAAACGGCCUCCCAAGAGGCAUCAGUCUGCAGGUCCAAACAAAUAUUUGUAUCGCGGAGGUUGGUGCGCCGGAUUCAAUGACAAGGACCAGUGGCUGGAAAUCGAUGCCAGGCGUCUGAUGCGG
rnacentral:lncRNA from 1 species